rnacentral:rRNA from 1 species
CAGGUCGGGGACAACCACUGGAAACGGUGGCUAAUACCGGAUGUGCCGAAAGGUGAAAGAUUUAUUGCCUGAAGAUGAGCUCGCGUCUGAUUAGCUAGUUGGUGUGGUAAGAGCGCACCAAGGCGACGAUCAGUAGCUGGUCUGAGAGGAUGAUCAGCCACACUGGGACUGAGACACGGCCCAGACUCCUACGGGAGGCAGCAGUGGGGAAUUUUCCGCAAUGGGCGAAAGCCUGACGGAGCAAUACCGCGUGAGGGAGGAAGGCUCUUGGGUUGUAAACCUCUUUUCUCAGGGAAUAAGUUCUGAAGGUACCUGAGGAAUAAGCAUCGGCUAACUCCGUGCCAGCAGCCGCGGUAAUACGGAGGAUGCAAGCGUUAUCCGGAAUGAUUGGGCGUAAAGCGUCCGCAGGUGGCACUGUAAGUCUGCUGUUAAAGAGCAAGGCUCAACCUUGUAAAGGCAGUGGAAACUACAGAGCUAGAGUACGUUCGGGGCAGAGGGAAUUCCUGGUGUAGCGGUGAAAUGCGUAGAGAUCAGGAAGAACACCGGUGGCGAAAGCGCUCUGCUAGGCCGUAACUGACACUGAGGGACGAAAGCUAGGGGAGCGAAUGGGAUUAGAUACCCCUGUAGUCAAAA